ensembl:snRNA U6 U6 spliceosomal RNA
GUGCUUAUGCACAUAUACUAAAAUUGGAAUGAUACAGAGAAGAUAAACAUGGCCCCAGUUCAAGGAAAGAAGUAUAAAUCACACAACAUUUAGUUCCCAUU